UGAUAACAGUAAGCAGCAAACAAAACAUAGUAAAUUAACAAUCAAAAUAUAAAGCUUAUAACAAAAACUAGGUUGCUUUUAGUCAAUGUUUACUGCUUUAUUUGAAGUUGGCCCCAGCAAGGUUAGCUAGGAUGUUAAGUAAUUUGAUUUUAGUUGUGACUCCUUCAAGGUAAAUAUAACACAGACUGUAGUUUCUAUAAAAGUCAUUAUUAUUGCAAUAUUAAAGUUAAAUUCAUGGCUCAAAAUAUUCAGGGUGAGAAAUGACUGACAACUAACGACUAAACAAUGUUUGUAUUAAGAAAAACUGAUCUGGGCACUGUAAUAAGGGUGAAGUAGUGUUUUUUACAAUUUGACAGAUACAUAAGCAUAUUCAGCCAGUAGUGGUCCUUUAGCGCCUACAAACAAACCAAUUUCCUAAUGCGAAGUUGCGCCAGAACGUAGCUACUUUAGCAGAUGUAUUAAAUAAAAUGAUAUGGGCCAGCUACAAAAGAGCUAAGCGCUUUCAAAGCCCUCUUAGCAUAGCAGAAAGUGCCAUACAAGCGACCACCACCAUUUAGCGGCUUGGAAGUUGACUUACCACACUUAUACAACCUAGUGCAGCACGUGGGUGGCCUGAAGAAAA